rnacentral:rRNA from 1 species
AAUAGAUACCCGGGUAGUCCACGCCGUAAACGAUGAGUGCUAAGUGUUAGAGGGUUUCCGCCCUUUAGUGCUGCAGCUAACGCAUUAAGCACUCCGCCUGGGGAGUACGGUCGCAAGACUGAAACUCAAAGGAAUUGACGGGGGCCCGCACAAGCGGUGGAGCAUGUGGUUUAAUUCGAAGCAACGCGAAGAACCUUACCAGGUCUUGACAUCCCACUGACCGGUAUAGAGAUAUACCUUUCCCUUCGGGGACAGUGGUGACAGGUGGUGCAUGGUUGUCGUCAGCUCGUGUCGUGAGAUGUUGGGUUAAGUCCCGCAACGAGCGCAACCCUUGAUCUUAGUUGCCAGCAUUUAGUUGGGCACUCUAAGGUGACUGCCGGUGACAAACCGGAGGAAGGUGGGGAUGACGUCAAAUCAUCAUGCCCCUUAUGACCUGGGCUACACACGUGCUACAAUGGAUGGUACAAAGGGCUGCAAGACUGCGAAGUCAAGCCAAUCCAUAAACCAUUCUCAGUUCGGAUUGCAGG